GCCAGACCUUGGAUCGAGCCCAAAUACCCCCAGGAAAAUGCUGGUCCUCUGGGAGGGAUAUCAUGAGAACCAAAGCUGGCCUGGGGAGCAGGGAACACAGAUGGACUGGGCGGCAGCCCCCGCCCCACCCUACUCCAAAGAGUCCAAAGUCCUGCCCAGCCACUAACCAGCUGUGACACAGGGCAAGCCGCACACCCUCUCUGGGCCUUGGGUUCCUUAUCUGCAGAAUGGGAGCCAUAAUUCACCUCGAUCGCACGGUGAAGUCAGUGCGUAUAUGCACUCUUGAAAUGAAGUUCUCGGUAAGCUCUAGCCAUCGUUGUUGUCAGUAUUACUCUAUGACUCGGCCUGGCCUGCUUGACCCCAGAAGCACCAUGGAAAACCCACCGCUUUUCACUCACCUCGGCUCUGCCGCCAUGACCUUGAGAUCAUUCCUCUGACCUCUGUGAACCUCAUUUUGGGGACAGGACUACGCCUACCAAGUCUGUGGGGGUGGUGCUAUGAACUCGAUGAGAAAAUGGGUCUGGAGGGCCCGGCGCAGUGCCUGGUGCAGAGGAAGUGCCCAUCAAUGGUGGCCUUUAUCACGAGUCUGGUUUGCAUGGGACCCUGAGGGAAGCGGGGCUGGGGAACAGAGGAAGCAAUUGUACAGAGGACUUUGCUAGUGGUCCAGUGGUUAAGAAUUCACCUUCCAAUGCAGAGGAGAGAAGGUCAAUCCCUGGUCUGGAAAGAUUCCACGUGCUGAGGAGCAACUAAGCCUGUGAGCCGCAACUACUGAAGCCCGCACACUAGAGCCUGCGCUCUGCGCCGUGAGAUGUCACUGUGGUGAAAAGCCAUUGCGCCACAGCUAGAGAGUAGCCCCAACUCACUGCAUCUGGAAAGAGUCCCUCAUGCAGCAGUGAAGACUCAGUGUGGCCAAUAAAUAAAUAAACGUAAAAUAUUGCCUUUUUUAAGGCCCCAUCUCCAAAUAUGGGUACAGUCUUAGGUACUGGGGAUUGAGGACUUCAACAUGUAAAUGGAGGGCGGGGAGGCUGCAGUUCAGCCUCUAACAGCAGUCAUUGUUCCGAAACGGGCAUGUGGCCCAAUUCAAGUCAAUGGUAUAUGGAUGGAUACUCGCUGGAGGUAGAGUGGAGUCUCGGGAAACUCUCUUCUCACCUAAGGCAGAACACAGGGAGAGAUGCUCUCUUCUUCCUUUGAAAACUGUCAUGUUAGAAUGUGAUACCCAGGCCUGGGGGUGCCCAGGGUGGGUACUGGGAACUCUACAGGGUUGAGGUGGUAUAUCAGUCAGCCCUGAAGUCAGCCCAAAGCUGUCCUGUGGGUUGAAGCUGGUUUAAGUUAAGGUUUUGGUUACACCUGGAAACCACCCUAACUGCCAUUUGAAGCAGAGAUAGUUAGGGUUCCACCUACACCUCCUCUCUCCACCUCCCUGCGCUCACGGUGGGACACAUUUCAUUUCCCGGCUUCCCCUGGAGUUGGGUGGGACCAUGUGACCAAGUUCUACCAAAAGGCAUGGGAAUGAAUAUGAGCGCAGGACACCGGCCAACUCCAGGCUGAAGGGGUUUGGCUACUUCACUGGCUCCUCCCCUGCCAGCCAGAGGGGACCUGGUGUGGCUGGGACCUGGCCUUGAUCACGUGGAUGACGUGCUAGAGCCCCAGCAUGGAGGGAACCUGGGCCCCUAAAAUCUGUCAAUCCAGAAUGGUCACAGGGGAGACACACAGGUUAUGUGUUCUUCAUGCUGCUGCUUUCGGGCGAUCUUUGGUAGAGCAGUAGAGCUUUGCUUUAAUAAUAAUACCUCGUCUUUAUUCUAAGGGUGGAGAGAGUUUUACCAGAGCAAAGUUGAUGGCGAAUGUUUCCUGCAGAAGACUUUUCUUUUAGGGUCAGAGAUGGCUUCAAGCUACCCAGGCUGAAAUAGAUGUCUUAAUAUCUGCCAGGUGCCCUUUAUGGAAUCCAUUUGUGCAAGUAACUUUCCGAUGAAGUGGCUUCCUGUGGGUGCAUUGUCAGGCAAAGGAAUGCUUUCAUUGAUCUGCUGAUGAGUACCUCCUGCCGGAUGCCUGCUUUUAUCAACUUAGUUCUCGCUGUGUAUCAAGUUCCUGGAAGCCGGUCCAAGUGAAUCUGCCUCUGACGUGUAUUCAGACCCUGCCCAGGACAACGUCAGGUUCCAGCCUGGUCCGUGAGGAGCCUUCUGGCAGGACUGACCUCUCCUUCCUCUGUGCCCCUCUUCUGGUAUCUAUUUCAUUCUGCUCAGACCGCGGUCUCCAUGCCGCCGCCUUCCUCCCCAUUCCUCCCACUGGGAGCUCCCGGAGGACUGCGCCGUGCUCCACUGUGGGUGUCUAAUGUGAUGCCUGGUGCCCAGCCGGAGCUCAGUAAGAAUGGGCCGAAUGAAGACUGACUCUGACCAAGGACAAAGGUCCCUUCCCGAGCCCCAGUCCAGGUUCAAGGCCCCAAACAGGAAUAUUCUCCAAAGGUAUUUAAACAAGUUUGAAGUUGGAUUGUGUUUUCCAUGCACUAGUUUAGUUCAGUUGAUCAGUCGUGUCCGACUCUUUGCGGCCCCAUGGACUACAGCACGCCCGGCUUCCCUGUCCAUCUCCAACUCUCGGAGCUUGCUCAAACUCAUGCCCAUUGAGUCAGUGAUGCCAUCCAACCAUCUCAUCUUCGGUCAUCCCCUUCUCCUCCCACCUUCAAUCUUUCCCAGCAUCAAGGUCUUUUCCAAUGAGUCGGUUCUUCGCAUCAGGUGGCCAAAGUAUUGGAGUUUCAGCUUCAGCAUUAAUC
ensembl:lncRNA